rnacentral:tRNA from 2 species
GCGGAAGUGGCGAAAUUGGCAGACGCACUGGAUUUAGGUUCCAGCGUUCGAAAGGACGUGUGGGUUCAAGUCCCACCUUCCGCACCA